rnacentral:rRNA from 1 species
GGGUGAGUAACACGUGGGUAACCUGCCCAUCAGAAGGGGAUAACACUUGGAAACAGGUGCUAAUACCGUAUAACAAUCGAAACCGCAUGGUUUUGAUUUGAAAGGCGCUUUCGGGUGUCGCUGAUGGAUGGACCCGCGGUGCAUUAGCUAGUUGGUGAGGUAACGGCUCACCAAGGCCACGAUGCAUAGCCGACCUGAGAGGGUGAUCGGCCACAUUGGGACUGAGACACGGCCCAAACUCCUACGGGAGGCAGCAGUAGGGAAUCUUCGGCAAUGGACGAAAGUCUGACCGAGCAACGCCGCGUGAGUGAAGAAGGUUUUCGGAUCGUAAAACUCUGUUGUUAGAGAAGAACAAGGAUGAGAGUAACUGUUCAUCCCUUGACGGUAUCUAACCAGAAAGCCACGGCUAACUACGUGCCAGCAGCCGCGGUAAUACGUAGGUGGCAAGCGUUGUCCGGAUUUAUUGGGCGUAAAGCGAGCGCAGGCGGUUUCUUAAGUCUGAUGUGAAAGCCCCCGGCUCAACCGGGGAGGGUCAUUGGAAACUGGGAGACUUGAGUGCAGAAGAGGAGAGUGGAAUUCCAUGUGUAGCGGUGAAAUGCGUAGAUAUAUGGAGGAACACCAGUGGCGAAGGCGUCUCUCUGGUCUGUAACUGACGCUGAGGCUCGAAAGCGUGGGGAGCAAACAGGAUUAGAUACCCUGGUAGUCCACGCCGUAAACGAUGAGUGCUAAGUGUUGGAGGGUCUCCGCCCUUCAGUGCUGCAGCUAACGCAUUAAGCACUCCGCCUGGGGAGUACGACCGCAAGGUUGAAACUCAAAGGAAUUGACGGGGGCCCGCACAAGCGGUGGAGCAUGUGGUUUAAUUCGAAGCAACGCGAAGAACCUUACCAGGUCUUGACAUCCUUUGACCACUCUAGAGAUAGAGCUUCCCCUUCGGGGGCAAAGUGACAGGUGGUGCAUGGUUGUCGUCAGCUCGUGUCGUGAGAUGUUGGGUUAAGUCCCGCAACGAGCGCAACCCUUAUUGUUAGUUGCCAUCAUUCAGUUGGGCACUCUAGCAAGACUGCCGGUGACAAACCGGAGGAAGGUGGGGAUGACGUCAAAUCAUCAUGCCCCUUAUGACCUGGGCUACACACGUGCUACAAUGGGAAGUACAACGAGUUGCGAAGUCGCGAGGCUAAGCUAAUCUCUUAAAGCUUCUCUCAGUUCGGAUUGCAGGCUG